CAGAACCUUUUAUUUCCAAUCUGUAAGUACGGUAAUUUACCCGUGCUUGAGCGUAUAGGAUUAGCAUUUGUUUCGAUUUGCAGCGGGCAUCGUGUGAAUUUAACUAAACACUAGAAAAUAACAAAUAAAACAUAUCGAUUGCUUGGUAAAAAUUAUAAAAAAAAAACAA